GGUUGCAUAGUGUAGUGGUUAUCACUCCAGAUUUUGACUUUCUUCAAAUCAAAUUUCUGGUAACCCCGGUUCGAACCCGGGUGCGACCU